rnacentral:misc_RNA from 1 species
AACGCAUAUUGCGCCCACCGGCACGCCGGUGGGCAUGCCUGUCCGAGCGUCGUCAUAACACCCUCGGGUCGCUGGCCCGGUGUUGGGGCUCCACGGCCUGUGGUCCCCUGAAGCGAUCGGCGGGGCGGCGGUGUCCUCUGAGCGCAGUAGCUUCUGUUCUCGCUCCUGCAGGCGCCGCGGCCCCCGCCGCAGAACCCCACACGCGAUAAAUGACCUCGGAUCAGGUAGGGUUACCCGCUGAACUUAA